rnacentral:misc_RNA from 1 species
GAUGAAGAACGCAGCAAAAUGCGAUAAGUAAUGUGAAUUGCAGAAUUCAGUGAAUCAUCGAAUCUUUGAACGCACAUUGCGCCCGCCAGUAUCCUGGCGGGCAUGCCUGUUCGAGCGUCAUUUCAACCCUCAAGCACAGCUUGGUGUUGGGACUCGCGUUAAUUCGCGUUCCCCAAAUUGAUUGGCGGUCACGUCGAGCUUCCAUAGCGUAGUAGUAAAACCCUCGUUACUGGUAAUCGUCGCGGCCACGCCGUUAAACCCCAACUUCUGAAUGUUGACCUCGGAUCAGGUAGGAAUACCCGCUGAACUUAAGCAUAUCAAUAAGCGGAGGA